UACGAAGGGAGCUAGCGUUGUUCGGAAUCACUGGGCGUAAAGCGCACGUAGGCGGAUGUGUCAGUCAGGGGUGAAAUCCUGGAGCUCAACUCCAGAACUGCCUUUGAUACUGGCAAUCUCGAGUCCGGGAGAGGUGAGUGGAACUGCGAGUGUAGAGGUGAAAUUCGUAGAUAUUCGCAAGAACACCAGUGGCGAAGGCGGCUCACUGGCCCGGUACUGACGCUGAGGUGCGAAAGCGUGGGGAGCAAACAGG
rnacentral:rRNA from 1 species